rnacentral:sRNA from 1 species
GGCUGCGCGCGGCCGGAAUCCGCGCCCUGCGGGCGGAGCUUGGGCGAGCCGGGGGCGGGUCCGUGCUCAUGGGCAGCCGCGGGCCCCCUGAACUUACUGUCCCCUCCGUAGGGACCAUCCCGCCGUCAUCAAGCGACGCUUCACCAGCGUCCUGGUGGUGUCCAGUCUCUCACCUCUGUGCGUGCUGCUCUGGAGGGAACUCACAGGCAUCCAGGCACAUCCCUGCUCACCCUGAUGGGCUUCAGGCUGGAGGGCAUUUUCCCAGCGGCGCUGCUGCCCCUGUUGCUGACCAUGAUUCUUUUCCUGGGCCCACUGAUGCAGCUCUCUAUGGAUUGCCCUUGUGACCUGGCAGAUGGGCUGAAGGUUGUCCUGGCCCCCCGCUCCUGGGCCCGCUGCCUCACAGACAUGCGUUGGCUGCGGAACCAAGUGAUCGCCCCGCUGACAGAGGAGCUGGUGUUCCGGGCCUGUAUGCUGCCCAUGUUAGCACCGUGCAUGGGCCUGGGCCCUGCUGUG